rnacentral:rRNA from 1 species
AUGGCGGACAUGUCGUCGCCGACUGGCCAGGCCCGGCCGGCGGCGCCGAUGGCGACGGCUGACCUGGAGGCCGCCAUCGCGGCGCUCCCCGUCAGGAAGCAGCGCCUGCGGGAGACCUUCGACCGCCUCGUCGCCUGCGCGCCGCCCCAUUACCAUCUCCCCUUCACCUGGGACGACAUCGACGCCCAUGUCUCCUCCCUCCACGCCUCCCUCUCCCUCCGCUUCCGCCAGAUGCAGCAGCAGCCCCACCCCGGCGCCCCCGUGUCCGCAACCGCGAUCCACGACGCCGAGCAGCCCCACCCCUGCGUGCCCGUGCCCGCAACCGCAACCCCCGCCGACGGGCAGCCCGACCCUUGCGUCCCCGUGUCCGCAACCCACGGCGAGUCCAUCCAGGAGGACGAGGAGAUGGUUAUGGAGGAUGAAGACGCCUCUCCUGUUCAAGAGGAUGAUAGAGUGGAGGACGCAGGCAUGGGCUUUGUGGGGGCGCCAAUGCGCCAGGCCGGAGGAACUCGUGAUCAAGAGUUUCCGGUUCCGGCGCGGGCUCACGCCCUGGACGCCGGCAGCCCUAUGCUUCGGCAGCCAUACACGGCGUUCCCGCCUGAAGUGCAUAGCCAGCUGAAUCUUCCUAUGCUCCAGCGACAACAACCAUACAUGCGGUACCAGCAGCAGGAGUUUCCUGCCAUGGCGGUGGCCAGGAAUACCUACAAUAUUCCUCCGAUGGUCCAGCAGCCGUACCCGUACCACAAUAUUCCUCCGAUGGUGCAGCGGCCGUACGUGCCGUACUUCAGGCAAGAAUUCUCCCCUGAUUUCAGGCAAGAAUUCUUCCCUGAUGAUGAUGUGACGAGGCAGCCCUUCAGGCAAGAAUUCUCCCCUGGUUUCAGGCAAGACUUCUUCCCUGAUGAUGAUGUGACGAGGCAGCCCUUCAGGCAAGAAUUCUCCCCUGGUUUCAGAAUUCUUCCCUGA